rnacentral:tRNA from 3 species
CGCGGAGUAGAGCAGUCUGGUAGCUCACAAGGGUCAUAACCUUGAGGUCACGGGUUCAAAUCCCGUCUCCGCAC